GUGGGGGUGUUCAGCUUAUGCAGGAAGUGAGACUUCAGAACCAAAACACGGCACAUAUUAGUCAUAGCUACAAGUACAAGAAAAUUAAACAAACUAGAAGUUAAGUAGCUCUGCAUUUUCGUCUGAUAAUGAGAAGAGAACCUUAGACCCAUAUCCACCAGGAGAGGAAGAGGUCCCACCAGCACCCAUUGGAAGAAGGAAUGGGAAGACAGCAAUAUAAGAACACAUUCAACAACAGAAAAACCAACAUGACUCCACAAGAGUCUAGGGGCUCUACACCAGCAAGACCUGAACAUCCCAACACAGAUGAAGCAGAAAAGAAUGGCCUUAAAGACAAAUUCAUGAAGAUGAUAGC
rnacentral:lncRNA from 1 species